GACAUUUAGGCACUCUGAGUCUGUUUUUUGAGUGGUAAUUUCUGCUCUAGUCUCACAUACCGUUGAUGGUUCUUGGAUGGUCCGGGUCUGCCCUGAGAAAGAGAAAGAUAAAUAUGCACCUCCACCCUGAAUGAAACAGGAAUGAAAACCAGAUGGGCUGAUUUGGAGAUUUGUUUUGUAAUCUUCCUCUGAGCUAAGAUGCCUGCUAAACCUUACAACUCUGGACUUUACAUUUCAGGUA